GACGAACGCUGGCGGCGUGCUUAACACAUGCAAGUCGAACGGGAAGGCCCUGCUUUUGUGGGGUGCUCGAGUGGCGAACGGGUGAGUAACACGUGAGUAACCUGCCCUUGACUUUGGGAUAACUUCAGGAAACUGGGGCUAAUACCGGAUAGGAGCUCCUGCUGCAUGGAGGGGGUUGGAAAGUUUCGGCGGUUGGGGAUGGACUCGCGGCUUAUCAGCUUGUUGGUGGGGUAGUGGCUUACCAAGGCUUUGACGGGUAGCCGGCCUGAGAGGGUGACCGGCCACAUUGGGACUGAGAUACGGCCCAGACUCCUACGGGAGGCAGCAGUGGGGAAUAUUGCACAAUGGGCGGAAGCCUGAUGCAGCAACGCCGCGUGCGGGAUGACGGCCUUCGGGUUGUAAACCGCUUUCGCCUGUGACGAAGCGUGAGUGACGGUAAUGGGUAAAGAAGCACCGGCUAACUACGUG
rnacentral:rRNA from 1 species